GACAAACCGAAACCAGAAUGAUAAAAUGUACCUGAAUUUGCUUCUACACUGACUUUCUCAGCCCCAGAUGGGCCGUGGCCAGCUUGACAGACAAGCAUUCUCCCUUCAGUGGGGUUCCUGCUGCAACAAGUAAUUUUUUUAAACCACAUCAUAAUCAUUUUGGGCUGAGGUAAGAAAGAGAUUUCAAAAUAUAUUAUUGUAGUUGUUCCAAUGUGGAUUCAUGUGAGGAAGUUUUGGUUUGGGGUGCAGUCCUGGCUACCCAUGAGAGUGAGCUGCAGUGUUUUAAAUCCCUGGUACCCAGACCGACUAAGUCUGAGUUUCUUCUCAUUGCUGGUGACUGAUUGGGUGUAGAUUCAAUCAGAGAAGUCUCACCACACUAAGUCUUAGCAGGAUCAGCAAGCUCCCGGAGAGGUGGUUCCUGGUGAGUUUGCUUUGUUUUUGUUGUGUGUUGCAUUGUAAGUUUUUCUGCCUGGGGACUGUAAAUAGGAAGGAAGUUACAGAAAGACACCAAUGGUAAGGGCAGGACUGGGUCAUCUGAACUCACUGAGGGCAUGUCGUGGUGGUGAGGUUUACGGUUGCCGUGUUGGAAUGAUUUUACCCUUCCUGUUAUAACACCGUCAUUUCACACCAUUUGUUGGGGACCCUGGGUCUGUAUUUAAAGUUUCAUUCUACCAUUCGCCUAAAGUCAAUCAAAAUGGGGAAGUGAGCAUAUAUUUGGUGAGAUAUCAUAGGGUAAGGAGUCAGCUUUGCGGUCGGUACGUUCACCAUAUACAGCAAACUAAGAGUUAAUACAAAAUGGUUGAGGUGACCCAAUUGCAGACGCAGGGCUUCCUAAGAGGUGAUCAGUAAGCUGCAGUGCCAAGUCUCAGAGAGGAGCCUGCGGCACUGUGUUCAAAUGCAUCCCCAGGACUGCUCUGCAACCAAAGAGAUUGUUAUCUAAUCGCUUCUGUAAUGUGGGUGAGCAUUUCAGAUAUCGCUGUAGUCAUGGAAGGUGUUGCUGGCUGUGUAGACUGGGAAGGAAGACUCUGGAGACAGGGCAUAGAGAGAGAGAGUCUCUAUACCUUUCUGGAACCAUAUGAAACAGAAAAUACAUCUCUAUGGGGGUUCUUCUCUAAGGGGGUGCUUUCCUGAAUUAUUGAGAUGGUAGGAGAAAAAAACUACAUAUAUUCUAGCCAACUCUACCCAGUGUGUCAUCAGGCCCUUUGGGUAGUGGAACUCCUUGGGGGAUUAUCAAGCCAGAUCCCCUCACAACCUGGCUCUGGGAGUUAUAAUCCUAGUGCAGCCUGGUCCUUAGAAAUCUUCACUAACCGGGCAUGGUAGCAUUUGCCUGUGAUGAUGAAGCUGGAGGAUCCGUGUGAGCUCCAGGCCAGCCAGGGCCCUCUUACAAGAGUCAGGCUCUAAAAUCAAAACAGGGCUGCCCAAGAUGGCUCCACUAUAAAGACACUUGUCACUAAGCCUAGCAACUUGAGUUUUAUCCCUAUAGUCACGUAAUGGAAGGAGACAAUCCAUUCCCCAAACUGUCCUUUGACCUCUGUACAAGCACUGUGGGGUGUGCCCUACCCUUAUGUGGUCUCUGUCUCUGUCUCUGUCUCUCUCUCUCUCUCUCACACACACACACACACACACUCUCUCUCUCUCUUAUUCUCUCUCUCUCUCACACACACACACAUGUUU
rnacentral:lncRNA from 1 species